rnacentral:rRNA from 1 species
UGGGGAAUAUUGGACAAUGGGCGCAAGCCUGAUCCAGCCAUGCCGCGUGGGUGAAGAAGGCCUUCGGGUUGUAAAGCCCUUUUGUUGGGGAAGAAAUCGUACGGGCGAAUAUCCCGUGCGGAUGACGGUACCCAAAGAAUAAGCACCGGCUAACUUCGUGCCAGCAGCCGCGGUAAUACGAAGGGUGCAAGCGUUACUCGGAAUUACUGGGCGUAAAGCGUGCGUAGGCGGUUUGUUAAGUCCGCUGUGAAAGCCCUGGGCUCAACCUGGGAAUUGCAGUGGAUACUGGCAAGCUAGAGUGCGGUAGAGGAUGGUGGAAUUCCCGGUGUAGCGGUGAAAUGCGUAGAGAUCGGGAGGAACACCCGUGGCGAAGGCGGCCAUCUGGACCAGCACUGACGCUGAGGCACGAAAGCGUGGGGAGCAAACA